rnacentral:rRNA from 1 species
GGUUAAGUUAAUAAGGGCGCACGGUGGAUGCCUUGGCACUAGAAGCCGAAGAAGGACGUGACAAACGACGAAAUGCUUUGGGGAGCUGUAAGUAAGCGCUGAUCCAGAGAUGUCCGAAUGGGGGAACCCACUAACUAAUGGUUAGUAUCCAUAACUGUUAAGGUUAUGAGAAGGAAGACGCAGUGAACUGAAACAUCUAAGUAGCUGCAGGAAGAGAAAGCAAACGCGAUUGCCUUAGUAGCGGCGAGCGAAACGGCAGGAGGGCAAACCGAAGUGUUUACACUUCGGGGUUGUAGGACUGCGACGUGGGACUUUAAAAGGAUAGAAGAAUUACCUGGGAAGGUAAGCCAAAGAGAGUAAAAGCCUCGUAUUUAAAAUUCUUUUGAGCCCUAGCAGUAUCCUGAGUACGGCGAGACACGUGAAAUCUCGUUGGAAUCUGGGAGGACCAUCUCCCAACCCUAAAUACUCUCUAGUGACCGAUAGUGAACCAGUACCGUGAGGGAAAGGUGAAAAGCACCCCGGGAGGGGAGUGAAAUAGAACCUGAAACCGUGUGCCUACAACAAGUUCGAGCCCGUUAAUGGGUGAGAGCGUGCCUUUUGUAGAAUGAACCGGCGAGUUACGAUAUGAUGCGAGGUUAAGUUGAAGAGACGGAGCCGCCGUCCAUUUCGGAUUUGUCACCGGUUGCACUCUUUUCGGCUGCGACCGUCAUUGCAGAAGCCGCUGCACCUGGAUCGCCGAUGGUUGAAUCAUUUUUUGGCGAGUAAGCCGUGGAGAUAUCAUUG